rnacentral:sRNA from 1 species
AGCGCGACGACAUCGACGCCGCGGGUGACCACCAGGUAAUCCCGAAUGGCGAUGCCGUGCCGGUUCUC